GAUGAACGCUGGCGGCGUGCCUAACACAUGCAAGUCGAGCGGACGGACAAUAAGCUCGUUCUUUUGCGGUUGGCGGCGGGCGGGUGAGUAACGCGUGGAUCCCAUUCUUCUUAUUCUGGGAUAAUAUCGGAAGACCGGUUCUAAUACUGGCUGAUAUUUUGUACCGCUGGGUGCAAAAGAGAAUGACGGUUUUGGCGACAGAAAUAGCUGGUUUCGGGCUGCAUUAGCUAGUUGGUAGGGUAACGGCUUACCAAGGCUACGAUGCGUAGCCGAGCUGAGAGGAUGAUCGGCCACACUGGAACUGAGACACGGUCCAGACUCCUACGGGAGGCAGCAGUAGGGAAUCUUCCGCAAUGGGCGCAAGCCUGACGGAGCAACGCCGCGUGAGUGAUGAAGGUCUUCGGAUCGUAAAGCUCUGUUAUUGGGGAAGAACAGAUGUGGAAGUAACUGUGCACAUCUUGACGGUACCUAAUCAGAAAGCCACGGCUAACUACGUG
rnacentral:rRNA from 1 species